UACGGGGGGGGCAAGCGUUGUUCGGAAUUACUGGGCGUAAAGGGCGCGUAGGCGGUGCUCUAAGUUAGAUGUGAAAACUCUGGGCUCAACCCAGAGCCUGCAUCUAAAACUGGAGUGCUAGAGUUCUGGAGGGGGUAGCGGAAUUCCUGGUGUAGCGGUGAAAUGCGUAGAUAUCAGGAGGAACACCGGUGGCGAAGGCGGCUACCUAGACAGAAACUGACGCUGAGGCGCGAAAGCUAGGGGAGCAAACAGG
rnacentral:rRNA from 1 species